ACGGUUACCUUGUUACGACUUAGCCCCAGUCACCGAUUUCGCUCUAGGGCGCGCCUCGCGGCGACGCACUUCAAGCGCCCUCGGCUCCCAUGGCUUGACGGGCGGUGUGUACAAGGCCCGGGAACGUAUUCACCGCGCCAUGGCUGAUGCGCGAUUACUAGCGAAUCCAGCUUCACGGAGUCGGGUUGCAGACUCCGAUCCGAACUGAGAGUGGAUUUCGGGUUCCGCUCGGCGUCGCCGCCUGGCUUCCCGCUGUACCACCCAUUGUAACACGUGUGUCGCCCCGGACGUAAGGGCCGUGCUGAUUUGACGUCAUCCCCGCCUUCCUCGCGGCUUGCGCCGGCAGUCCGUGCAGAGUCCUCAGCGUUGACUGUUAGCAACUGCACGCGGGGGUUGCGCUCGUUAUGGCACUUAAGCCGACACCUCACGGCACGAGCUGACGACAACCAUGCAGCACCUCGGGGAGUGUCCCGUGGGAAACAGGCGUCUCUGCCUGCGCCACUCCCCGUUUGAGCCCGGGUAAGGUUCCUCGCGUAUCAUCGAAUUAAACCACAUGUUCCUCCGCUUGUGCGGGCCCCCGUCAAUUCCUUUGAGUUUCACCGUUGCCG
rnacentral:rRNA from 1 species